GGGCGGAUAGUUCAGCGGUAGAACACCUGCCUUACACGCAGGGGGUCACAGGUUCGAACCCUGUUUCGCCCACCA
rnacentral:tRNA from 7 species